GGACUUCUGACUUAGCGGGGGCGGGCGAGGACACUAAAGGAAUCCUCCUAUAAGGAGGGAGAUCAUUUGGAAAACGUCCUAAUACCGCAUAAUAUCUUCUUCUGCAUGAAAGAUUGAACGACGGUUCUGCUGUCAAUUAUCAUGACCUUGCGCUGCAUUAUGUAGUUGUAGGGGUAACGGCCUAGACGAUCCAUGAUGCGUACUGAACCCAAGAACGGUGAUCGG
rnacentral:rRNA from 1 species